rnacentral:misc_RNA from 1 species
GAUGAAGAACGUAGCGAAAUGCGAUACGUAAUGUGAAUUGCAGAAUUCAGUGAAUCAUCGAGUCUUUGAACGCACAUUGCGCCCCCUGGUAUUCCGGGGGGCAUGCCUGUCCGAGCGUCAUUGCUGCCCUCAAGCACGGCUUGUGUGUUGGGCCUCCGUCCUCCUCCCGGGGGACGGGCCCGAAAGGCAGCGGCGGCACCGCGUCCGGUCCUCGAGCGUAUGGGGCUUCGUCACCCGCUCUUGUAGGCCCGGCCGGCGCUUGCCGACACAUCAAUCUUUUUUCCAGGUUGACCUCGGAUCAGGUAGGGAUACCCGCUGAACUUAAUCAUAUCAAUAAGCGGAGGA